GUACACUCCUACGGGAGGCAGCAGUGGGGAAUAUUGGACAAUGGGCGCAAGCCUGAUCCAGCCAUGCCGCGUGAGUGAUGAAGGCCCUAGGGUUGUAAAGCUCUUUCACCGGUGAAGAUAAUGACGGUCACCGGAGAAGAAGCCCCGGCUAACUUCGUGCCAGCAGCCGCGGUAAUACGAAGGGGGCUAGCGUUGUUCGGAUUUACUGGGCGUAAAGCGCACGUAGGCGGACUAUUAAGUCAGGGGUGAAAUCCCGGGGCUCAACCCCGGAACUGCCUUUGAUACUGGUAGUCUUGAGUUCGAGAGAGGUGAGUGGAAUUCCGAGUGUAGAGGUGAAAUUCGUAGAUAUUCGGAGGAACACCAGUGGCGAAGGCGGCUCACUGGCUCGAUACUGACGCUGAGGUGCGAAAGCGUGGGGAGCAAACAGGAUUAGAUACCCCGGUAGUCCCAUGA
rnacentral:rRNA from 1 species